rnacentral:miRNA from 1 species
UACCAAUAACAGGUGAAACUGCCACAUGAUCUGAUCUUCCCUAACCAAAAUAGGGAGGUUAAGAUCAUGCUGGCAGCUUCAACUGCUACAAAU